GUUCUAUCGUGUCACCAGAAGAUGUAGAAUCAGUCAUGUCCUCUUCUUCGCUGUAAAUUCUUGCAGGAGCUGAACUUCUCAAUGAUCUGCUGCAAGGUCAGUUAAAUCUUGCCUCAGAUUUCCAUUUUGCAUUCAUGAGAUAAGUUGAUUGCAAACAUGAUACUAAUCUUUCCUCCAGAUUACUUUGGCAAAGAACUAUUAUCUGUUGAAGCUGUUCCGGUGUACUGAGAUCACAUUCUUCUUCUGAAUUGGUAUUUGAAUUUUUCCAGAGAUUCUUAUAUGGUGUUUCGGAAUGGAUAGAUGUCUGUUUAACUUACUAUUGAAAGGGAAAACAAUUUCCAGAUAUAAGAGAAACAAGUUAUGAGCCUUUGUGUUGUAAAACUCCAGCUUUUUUCUAUUUUAUUCUUUCUCAAUGAUGGUGUCCCUCUUUG
rnacentral:misc_RNA from 1 species